rnacentral:rRNA from 1 species
CGGAGGGUGCAAGUCGUUAUCCGGAUUCACGUGGGCUUAAAGGGUGCGUAGGUGGGCAAGUAAGUCAGUGGUGAAAUCUCCGGGCUUAACCCGGAAACUGCCAUUGAUACUAUUUGUCUUGAAUACUGUGGAGGUCAGCGGAAUAUGUCAUGUAGCGGUGAAAUGCUUAGAUAUGACAUAGAACACCAAUUGCGAAGGCAGCUGGCUACACAGAUAUUGACACUGAGGCACGAAAGCGUGGGGAUCAAACAGGAUUAGAUACCCUGGUAGUCCACGCCCUAAACUAUGGAUACUCGACAUUUGCGAUAAACUGCAAGUGUCUGAGCGAAAGCAUUAAGUAUCCCACCUGGGAAGUACGAUCGCAAGAUUG